AGUGAACGCUGGCGGUAGGCCUAACACAUGCAAGUCGAACGGCAGCACAGUAAGAGCUUGCUCUUACGGGUGGCGAGUGGCGGACGGGUGAGGAAUACAUCGGAAUCUACUUUUUCGUGGGGGAUAACGUAGGGAAACUUACGCUAAUACCGCAUACGACCUACGGGUGAAAGCAGGGGAUCUUCGGACCUUGCGCGAUUGAAUGAGCCGAUGUCGGAUUAGCUAGUUGGCGGGGUAAAGGCCCACCAAGGCGACGAUCCGUAGCUGGUCUGAAAGGAUGAUCAGCCACACUGGAACUGAGACACGGCCCAGACUCCUACGGGAGGCAGCAGUGGGGAAUAUUGGACAAUGGGCGCAAGCCUGAUCCAGCCAUACCGCGUGGGUGAAGAAGGCCUUCGGGUUGUAAAGCCCUUUUGUUGGGAAAGAAAAGCAGCAGGUUAAUACCCCGCUGUUCUGACAGUACCCAAAGAAUAAGCACCGGCUAACUUCGUG
rnacentral:rRNA from 1 species